GAUGAACGCUGGCGGCGUGCCUAAUACAUGCAAGUCGAGCGAACAGACGAGGAGCUUGCUCCUCUGACGUUAGCGGCGGACGGGUGAGUAACACGUGGAUAACUUACCUAUAAGACUGGGAUAACUUCGGGAAACCGGAGCUAAUACCGGAUAAUAUAUUGAACCGCAUGGUUCAAUAGUGAAAGACGGUUUUGCUGUCACUUAUAGAUGGAUCCGCGCCGCAUUAGCUAGUUGGUAAGGUAACGGCUUACCAAGGCAACGAUGCGUAGCCGACCUGAGAGGGUGAUCGGCCACACUGGAACUGAGACACGGUCCAGACUCCUACGGGAGGCAGCAGUAGGGAAUCUUCCGCAAUGGGCGAAAGCCUGACGGAGCAACGCCGCGUGAGUGAUGAAGGUCUUCGGAUCGUAAAACUCUGUUAUUAGGGAAGAACAAAUGUGUAAGUAACUAUGCACGUCUUGGCGGUACCUAAUCAGAAAGCCACGGCUAACUACGU
rnacentral:rRNA from 1 species